rnacentral:rRNA from 1 species
AAGUCGAACGAGCCCUUCGGGGUUAGUGGCGCACGGGUGCGUAACGCGUGGGAACCUGCCUUUAGGUUCGGAAUAACUCAGAGAAAUUUGAGCUAAUACCGGAUAAUGUCUUCGGACCAAAGAUUUAUCGCCUUUAGAUGGGCCCGCGUUAGAUUAGAUAGUUGGUGGGGUAAUGGCCUACCAAGUCGACGAUCUAUAGCUGGUCUGAGAGGAUGAUCAGCCACACUGGGACUGAGACACGGCCCAGACUCCUACGGGAGGCAGCAGUGGGGAAUAUUGGACAAUGGGCGAAAGCCUGAUCCAGCAAUGCCGCGUGAGUGAUGAAGGCCUUAGGGUUGUAAAGCUCUUUUACCAGGGAUGAUAAUGACAGUACCUGGAGAAUAAGCUCCGGCUAACUCCGUGCCAGCAGCCGCGGUAAUACGGAGGGAGCUAGCGUUGUUCGGAAUUACUGGGCGUAAAGCGCGCGUAGGCGGCGAUCCAAGUCAGGGGUGAAAUCCCGGGGCUCAACCCCGGAACUGCCCUUGAAACUAGGUUGCUAGAAUCCUGGAGAGGCGAGUGGAAUUCCGAGUGUAGAGGUGAAAUUCGUAGAUAUUCGGAAGAACACCAGUGGCGAA